rnacentral:rRNA from 1 species
AUGAACGCUAGCGGGAGGCCUAACACAUGCAAGCCGAGCGGUAGAAAGUAGCUUGCUACUUUUGAGAGCGGCGUACGGGUGCGUAACACGUGUGCAACCUGCCUUUAUCUGGAGAAUAGCCUCUCGAAAGGAAGAUUAAUGCUCCAUAACAUAUUGAAUGGCAUCAUUUAAUAUUGAAAGCUCCGGCGGAUAGAGAUGGGCACGCGCAAGAUUAGUUAGUUGGUGAGGUAACGGCUCACCAAGGCGAUGAUCUUUAGGGGGCCUGAGAGGGUGAUCCCCCACACUGGUACUGAGACACAGACCAGACUCCUACGGGAGGCAGCAGUGAGGAAUAUUGGACAAUGGGUGAAAGCCUGAUCCAGCCAUCCCGCGUGAAGGAUGACGGCCCUAUGGGUUGUAAACUUCUUUUGUAUAGGGAUAAACCUACCCUCGUGAGGGUAGCUGAAGGUACUAUACGAAUAAGCACCGGCUAACUCCGUGCCAGCAGCCGCCGUAA